rnacentral:rRNA from 1 species
AUUGAACGCUGGCGGCAUGCUUUACACAUGCAAGUCGAACGGCAGCGCGGGCUUCGGCCUGGCGGCGAGUGGCGAACGGGUGAGUAAUGCAUCGGAACGUGCCCAGUAGUGGGGGAUAGCCCGGCGAAAGCCGGAUUAAUACCGCAUACGACCUGAGGGUGAAAGCGGGGGACCGAAAGGCCUCGCGCUAUUGGAGCGGCCGAUGUCGGAUUAGCUAGUUGGUGGGGUAAAGGCUUACCAAGGCGACGAUCCGUAGCUGGUCUGAGAGGACGACCAGCCACACUGGGACUGAGACACGGCCCAGACUCCUACGGGAGGCAGCAGUGGGGAAUUUUGGACAAUGGGGGCAACCCUGAUCCAGCCAUGCCGCGUGCGGGAAGAAGGCAUUCGGGUUGUAAACCGCUUUUGUUCGGGAAGAAAUCCUCUGGGCUAAUACCCCGGGGGGAUGACGGUACCGGAAGAAUAAGCACCGGCUAACUACGUG